GACGAACGCUGGCGUCGUGCUUAACACAUGCAAGUCGAACGGAAAGGCCCUGCUUUUGUGGGGUGCUCGAGUGGCGAACGGGUGAGUAACACGUGAGUAACCUGCCCUUGACUUUGGGAUAACUUCAGGAAACUGGGGCUAAUACCGGAUAGGAGCUCCUGCUGCAUGGUGGGGGUUGGAAAGUUUCGGCGGUUGGGGAUGGACUCGCGGCUUAUCAGCUUGUUGGUGGGGUAGUGGCUUACCAAGGCUUUGACGGGUAGCCGGCCUGAGAGGGUGACCGGCCACAUUGGGACUGAGAUACGGCCCAGACUCCUACGGGAGGCAGCAGUGGGGAAUAUUGCACAAUGGGCGGAAGCCUGAUGCAGCAACGCCGCGUGCGGGAUGACGGCCUUCGGGUUGUAAACCGCUUUCGCCUGUGACGAAGCGUGAGUGACGGUAAUGGGUAAAGAAGCACCAGCUAACUGCGUG
rnacentral:rRNA from 1 species